rnacentral:misc_RNA from 1 species
AAAAUAGUUUUAUCUUAGCGAGUGAUGUGAACAUGGGCGAAGAGGCUAAAAGAGCCGGUUGGUCUAAUCAGGUGGAGUUUAUUCUGACCUUAAUAGGGUAUGCAGUAGGACUGGGGAACGUGUGGAGAUUCCCUUACCUUGCUUACAAAAACGGAGGAGGCGCUUUUCUGAUACCAUACUUUGUCUCCUUGGCCCUUAUUGGAGUUCCUUUGUUUUUCCUUGAACUUUCAUUUGGCCAGUUUGCCAGUCUAGGUCCCAUAAAGAUAUGGAUUGUAAAUCCUGCAUUCAAAGGUUUGGGGUUCGCCAUGACCAUCGUCUCUGCCUUGAUCGCGUUGUAUUACAACGUUGUGAUCGCCUGGUGCCUGUAUUACCUAUUUGCGUCCAUGACGUCAUAUCUACCAUGGCAGGACUGUGACAACGAGUGGAACACGUGUUCCUGUGCUGACGCAACGACGAACUUCUCGAGCUCGGAUCCUUGGAAAGGACGACGACCAGAUUGCUUGGCCGAUCUAGCUUCCAUCAAAAAUGGAAGUAAAAACACUCCAAGUUCAGAAUAUUUUACACGUAAAGUGCUGGGUGUGACUGACUCGUGGACUGACCCCGGGGGCCUCAAGUGGGACGUGACCCUCUGCAACCUUCUAGCCUGGAUCAUCGUCUUUCUGGUUCUGUCUAAAGGAAUCAAAUCCCUUGGAAAGGUUGUGUAUUUCACUGCCACAUUCCCAUACGUUCUGCUGACUGUCCUGUUGGUCCGUGGAUUGACACUUGAAGGGUCUCAUGAGGGGGUCAUGUACUACCUCACACCCAACUGGGAACGACUGUCGGAUGCCAGUGUAUGACGUCAUAAGUGACAACUGCUUGGAUUUAUUUAUUUUUUCAGUUUUGUUUAUAUUAAAUAACUCGAAACAAUGUGUAUUUUGCAAAAUGAAUUCAUGAGCAGUUUCCUAAAUUUUGAAUAAACUGAAAAUAUUCAGGAUUUAAAAAAGACCUAAUAAAAUAUUACAAAGACUAACUCACCCCGUGUUUAAAUUGUGUUAUUUGAUUAGGUGUGGUCGGAUGCCGCGGUACAAAUCUUCUACUCCCUCAGCGCCUGUUCUGGAGGUCUGAUUGCAAUGGCAAGCUACAAUAAGUUUAACAACAACGUUUUAAGAGAUUCCCUAGUUGUUCCUUUGAUAAACUGUUUGACGAGUUUCUAUGCUGGGUUCGUGAUCUUCUCAGUACUUGGAUUUAUGGCGAACUACAAACAUGACACGAUGGAACAUGUCGCAAAAGGAGGUCCGGGCCUCACUUUCAUCGUUUACCCAGAAGCCCUUGCACAGAUGCCCGUUGCUCCAUUGUGGGCUAUUCUGUUCUUCUUCAUGAUGGCCACCCUUGGUUUUAGCUCACAGUUUUCAAUAACGGAGACCGUGAUUACUGGAGUAAUGGACGAGUUUCCCGGAUUCUUCUCCAGUCGGGUCAAGAGAAUCCUCUUCCGUGCUGGAGUUUGCGCAGUAGCGUUUAUUCUUGGACUUCCGAUGACUUGUCGAGGAGGCGAGUACACCCUGAACCUAAUGGACACGUUUGUCGGGGGAUUCCCGCUCUUAUUCGUCGGACUCUUUGAAAUCAUCGCCAUCAUCUACGUUUAUGGAUUUUUCCGCUUCAAGAGAGACAUUGAGUUGAUGCUUGGAUCUAACAUUGUAAUCUCGGCCUUCUUCCUGUACUUUGGAGCGACCUGGCUGUUAAUUUCUCCAGUAGCGCUACUGGCUGUGAUAAUAUUCAAAGCCAUUCAGACCAAACCGGCGACGGACGGAAGUUACGUAUAUCCGGAGGGAGGACAGGCUCUUGGUUGGCUGAUCGUUUUAGCGCCCCUAAUCUGGAUCCCCGUCAUAUUCUUCUUUGAGGCCUUUAGAAAUGGACUUGGAAAGUUAUUGAAAAAGAUAAACUCUCCUGAGGAAAAUUGGGGACCAGCAUUAUCAGAAAACAAAACGGGGCGAUAUAGCGAUGAAUACAAAGAGAGAAUGAAGCAGAGAACCGGAAGUAAUGGAUACACCAUCUCAAAUCCGGAAGAACAUUCUUCCAGUGAAAAAUACGCCAGACUUCAGGCUACAUUUGUGACUUCAAAUCAAGCAAAUAUUCCCAACGGAAAAGAGGAACAUACGGUGGACAUGGAAAAUGGAACAAAACAAAAUGGAACUGCACAGGUCAAGGACGGUACCGGGGAGACCGGAACAAGUGGACAGUUCCAGAACCCAGCCUUUGUAAAAGACGACGACAAAUAAUCAUGUUUUUUUUUUAUAUGGAUCAAAAUUAAGCUGGACAAUAUUCCGGUGCGGAACAGUUUUUUAUAAUGUAAGUUUUAUUAAUAUAGUUGCUUUUGUUUUCACUAACAUUCGAAGCUUUCUGUGUUACACAUAUAUGCGAAUACAAUUUCGAUAAAAUUACAAUGAUCUGAGUUUUUCAAUAAAAAGUAUGAUAUUCU